rnacentral:rRNA from 1 species
UACAGAGGUCCCAAGCGUUGUUCGGAUUUACUGGGCGUAAAGGGUGCGUAGGUGGCGGUCUAAGUCGGGUGUGAAAUUUCCGGGCUCAACCCGGAGGGUGCGCUCGAAACUGAAUCGCUAGAGGAUGGGAGGGGAGACUAGAAUUCUCGGUGUAGCAGUGAAAUGCGUAGAUAUCGAGAGGAACACCGGUGGCGAAGGCGAGUCUCUGGACCAUUCCUGACACUGAGGCACGAAAGCCGGGGGAGCAAACAGG